AUUGCUCUUUGCUUUUGCAACCCCGAAGCCAAAGAGGGGAGGGGGGAGGAAAGGGGGAUGUUAUAAAAGAAAAAAGCAAGAAAGAAGCUUAGAUUUGCAACACAUCGGAAAACCGGGGGAGCACCCCGGCUGGUCCGAUCUCCGUGCCCCGCGAGGGCCUUCCGGGUUUUGGAGCGAGUCCCUCGUUGUUCGCAAUGCCCCCCACUUUCACCAGGCUUAGGAUCCGAGAAAUCCAAGUAAAAAGUUCUCCCCCUGGGUCGUAGUGAGGUGUGUCAGGGUGAGAGUUGGGAUUUUUCAGGAAGCAGCAGCCAUCCCUCCUACCCCGGCUUCGGUAACUGGGCCAGAGCCCGCGUGGGGAUAAAGAGCAAAAUCCUGGUGGGUUUGCGCGAAGGAGCUUCUAGGGGGAAGUUGGAGCCGGGAGAUCGUGCUUCGCGCAUCUCCCCCUCGGUGUCUGCCUCCUGUCCCCUGCCAGCUCCCCCUUUAAUUAUUAUUUUCCCCCCCUCUCCUUUAAUCUAAUUUCUUCCAACUCCACCUUUGUUGUUACCGGCGUCACGCCCGGGCCAGCCAAUCCCCGCUACGCAAUCAGCUUGUCAAAAAGGCUCGGCCAGCCCUGAGAAAGCAGGCCUCGGGCGCUGCCCCCCGGCGGCGACGGGGAUCCACGAGGGGAGCCCUGCACCCCGGCCUUGCGGCCGGAGCUGCAGACCAGCAGCCCUCGGUUGACCGCCCGCAGUUCACCAUACUGCCGGUCGGGGAAGGAAAGUCCUGGGCGUGAACCACUCUUUAGUCUCCCAGUGCCUUUGGCUGUGGUUUGUCCAUCUUUGCCUCCUCUCCUCAGAGGAAAGGUUAUCAGGACAGGACGCAGGGAACCAGAAGACAGUGUGAAGGACGCCUGCCCCUGCUUCCAACAGGCCAGCCCAUGGUUUGGGCCAUCUCUCACGGGACAGCGCCACUGAUGCUGGCUCCCAGGCUGCCAGUUCCCACACCAGCACUGCUGCUGCCCAUGUCUCAACCAGCUGGGUCACACGGCCCCUUUGGACCGUCCCCUGGCACACUGCCUUCUCCAUCCUCGCACCGCCUGGCUGCUGCUGUAAUUCCUCUUGUCUCCUGGGAGAAAUGAGAUUCCUUUCCCAGGACUUCCACAUCCCACUUCUGCCACGUUGCACAAACAGGGUGGGAAACGCUGUCAAGAUCUGGCGUGUCCGGUUUUUUUUAGAGGGCAUGGCAUAUAGGAGAAGCAGAUUAACCAUGAUACUAAUGAAGUUUAAUCGUCAAGGCCCCUUCCUUACAAGGCCUGUUUAAGGCCUGUACUCAAUUUUGUGUUCAUUAUUUGUUUGUUUUUUUAGAGUCCCUCCCCUCAAUUGUACAUCUCCACAAACUCAGAUCUGCUCUUGGAGUAUACACAGGGCAUUUUGUGCAGGAUCAAGUCAUCUCGCACUACACUAAAAGCAGGAUUGAGCUUGGAAGGUCAAGUGAGAUGAUGUAUAUAAAACUGUAAGAAUCUCCACACUUCACUUGCCACAAUUAACAACAGGAGAAACUUAGACCCGAAGGAAGAUUCUACACCAAGAUCUGGAGUCCAGGUGUUCUGGCUUCUGGCCCUGAACUUCUUGGCUGAGCCAAGGGACUUUUUGGUAAAGUGCUUUGGAAUAAAACAAGAUGAACAUGAA